rnacentral:lncRNA from 1 species
GAACUAAAAACUCCAGGCCUACCCACUGCCAGGGGGUUUUCAAAGAAGAGACCCAUGCCUGGGUUUCCCAUGUGCAAGGUGGGCUGUCAGUCCCUGAGGGAGUAGGAACAGGGACAGUUUCUGGAUGGCACAACCGCAAUGAACGAAGACAAAGCAGAUAAAGCCGUACAACUGGGAACGGCGAGGGGAGGGUAGCAAGGAUCAGGGUCCGAGUGCUUCACUGCUGUGAGCCCUUGAAAAGCAGCAUCAAGACCGAAGCGUGGUCUCAUGGUGACCAGGUGGUCCUGUGAUUUGUGUUGUAGAAAGAUCUCCACUCGGUGGGGUUGCGGACUGACUGACCUUGCCUCCCUCCCACCUGCCUCUUGCCCUUCAGAUCUGCAGCUGUUCUUAGCAGCCAACAUCCGUCUCGGGGAUCUUGAGGGACACUGAGAGGUGCUGGGAUGACAGGCCUGUGGCAGCAUGUCUUGUUUCCAUGGUGAUGGAGACUGAACCCAGGGCUUUGUGCAUGCCAGGCAAGCACUCUGCCAUCUCUUCUUUCAGAGCUUUGGUUUACUGUCUUGGACUUUACAGAUGGGACCAACAAUACAUCCCAUAAUGCAUGCAUGAACCCAGGACCACCUGCCCCAGGCUGUCACUGCCCAGAGUGGACUGGGCCCUCCUAUGUCAAUCAUUAAUCAAGAGAAGGAGGUAUCCUUUUAAUGAAGGUUCUCUCUUCCAACGACUCUAGUUUGUGUCAAGUUGACAAAAACCAACCAGCAUAGUCUGUUAUUCCAUGAAUAAAUCAUACGGUGCAGCUUGGAGCUAUUUGGAGAAUUAAAUAUCCAAGUUG